UCAAAGCUGCAUUCAGGUACCGUCUCUUCGUUUCUUUCUGUUUACCUUUUCCAUUCUUUUUUUACUGUGGAAUCUGUUUACUGCUGUGUUUUAUUCUCUUAAAAUUUGAUAUAUGCAUUUGGUUUCUUGUUUAAAGACUUAGUUUCAAAGCCUCUGUUUUUGGUUUCCUUGUAGAUCACUGGCCCGUUAAAAUUGCUGAAAGAUCUUGAUUGAGGUUUACCUUUAUUUCAAUUUGAUGGAGGCUGAGCAUGAUAAGCUUUGAAAGGAAGCAUACUGUAACUUCAGUGGGUGUUGUGGAGGUGGUGUAACUUCAUAGGCUAUGAUAAGGAUGUGAAAAAGGUUUUCUUCAGUUUUAUGGAACGACAUGAUUUGCCAAGGAUCAGCUCUUGAGAGAGAAUUUUGCUCUUAGGAUUUACAAGGAAAAGGUAUGUACUC